GAUGAACGCUGGCGGCGUGCCUAAUACAUGCAAGUCGAGCGAACGGACGAGAAGCUUGCUUCUCUGAUGUUAGCGGCGGACGGGUGAGUAACACGUGGAUAACCUACCUAUAAGACUGGGAUAACUUCGGGAAACCGUAGCUAAUACCGGAUAAUAUUUUGAACCGCAUGGUUCAAAAGUGAAAGACGGUCUUGCUGUCACUUAUAGAUGGAUCCGCGCUGCAUUAGCUAGUUGGUAAGGUAACGGCUUACCAAGGCAACGAUGCAUAGCCGACCUGAGAGGGGGAUCGGCCACACUGGAACUGAGACACGGUCCAGACUCCUACGGGAGGCAGCAGUAGGGAAUCUUCCGCAAUGGGCGAAAGCCUGACGGAGCAACGCCGCGUGAGUGAUGAAGGUCUUCGGAUCGUAAAACUCUGUUAUUAGGGAAGAACAUAUGUGUAAGUAACUGUGCACAUCUUGACGGUACCUAAUCAGAAAGCCACGGCUAACU
rnacentral:rRNA from 1 species